UUAUAAAAAAUACUUAAUAAAUCAGAAUAUGUCAUAAUCAACAAUUGGAUAUACUGUUCAUAUAUCAUAUGUGAUUAUUUUUAUAGUUAAAGGCAAAGUUGGAGUUGCAUUUUAGGGAGAAUGAACUCGCACAGAAUUAUUACUUGCAAUUUACUAAUCAAAAACCGUAGAAACCGGGCGAAGAUUCGCAACGCUGGGCACGGAUUUGGAAUGUCUAUCGCAUAAGAUCUACUCCAAACGUUCGCACGAGGUACGCGGUAAAAUUGCAUGUUCUCAGUUCGUCACCAUGUUGACCGACGGUUUCGUUAAGCGCUUCCUUCGGAUAGAAAAGAUGGCGUUGCUUAGAAUAAUUAUUGAACAGGCGAAAACGUUUAUUUAAAA